AUCACUGAAAACAAUGUCUUUGUGUUUUCAUCCCCGGCUGUAGUCACGCAAUGUUGUGCGUGCGCAAAAAAAAAGGAAGAAAAAAAAAAAGAAAAACACACCAGCAACUUUUGAGCGCCUGGCACACAAGAAAGCCAUCAAGUAGCUGCGAUUGACAGAAUCGCGUGCGGCUCAGAUAUUGCGGGAGCGGACUGGAGCGUCGCCAAAUGCGGACAAUCGGAAAAGCUGGAGUGGAGCGACGCUAGGCUGGCCCCACGCCUUUUAAAUUCAAUCAUUUGCAGUCUUUUUUUAUUAUUAUUAUUAUUAUUGCCAAAAUCUCACAGCACACCGUCAAGCAAAAAUGCCACAAAAAUAAUAUCUACUGAAAUAAUGAGGCGCAUGUCUUACUCACGAAUUUGGUAUUGGGAUGUAUGAGGUGCAUUUUAUUAUCUUAUUUCUUUAUUAUUUGUUUAGGACAGAAAACUGAAAAGUAGUGCCAAUGGUGUUCAAACAGUCUCAGCAGUUAACUUUUAGAUGUCCUUGAGCGUAAACGAAAGCAUAUUUUAUACACACAUCUUUCCGCCAACACUCGAUAUAUAUAUAUAUAUUCAACUGCUACUUGGGGAGGUCUUAAUUUGAUCAAAUGCAUUUUUUAAAUGACCACAAUAUUACAAUUUAUGUCGAGUGAAACUCUGAGACCGAAAAGACUGUAGGUAAUGGCUAUAUGGCACACAACAUUGUGGAGUGACAGGUGCUGUUGUUUUGGUUAGCAACUGGGGCUCCAAUGAGCUCAGCAGUAAACUCUUCAAUGUCUCUGUGCUCGUGAACGAUCGCAUCUAUGAACUCAAGUACUGCAUUUCUGCAAAUAGUAACCAGGUGUGUUCACACGCUUAACUGCAGAUGGGAGAGGCACAAAAAUGGACGCACACGACAUUGCGGAGCGACCACACAUCAGUGACGUUCCAAGAAACUGUCUCGUCAACUCCCAAAGACUCCAGUGCUUGUUUUUGGGCUGUAAAGGAAGCUCCGAUCCCAGGAAUAGCGCACGAGCGGGCCCGGAGGCGUGAGGACAUGAAAGUGAAGUGAUCAUCGUUGCUCACACGCAAGCCUCCUUCAUGCUGACGCCUGAUGACUGAUAAUCAAAUCUACUGCCACCAUUAAUGACAUCAUCACACACUUGGCUGUCUAUUUCUGAUCGGUGGUGUGACAAAUAUACUUUUUUUUAAAUGUUAAUUAUUAUCAUAUUUAACUUAUGGUGACAUGGAUACAUAUAAAAUAUUUAGUAAACAAUAAAAAGGAGAUCAUUUUGAAUAAUACACAAAUGGGAAAAAAACCUUCACCUAAUAUUGUGAAAAUAUGUUAUGGAAUAAUAGGCUUUUAUAUGCAAUUGCAUGGCUCAGAUGUGUAAAACAAUAAUUUAUCAUUGAUUCAAUUAAUAGUUAAAUAAAAUAAAACAAUAUUAUGUUUUGCAUUUUUAAUUAAUUGACGUUUGAUCAUUUUUUUUCAUGUCUUUCAUCUUGGUGCAGAAAAUACCGACUUAAAAAAAGUAAUUUUAUAUUUUGCGGCGAAACAUUUUUUUUAAAAAUUGUAAUCAUUUUUUAUGCCAAAUAGGGUUUUCUUUAUAGUUUUACUACAUAAAAUCUACUCGACUUUCAUUAGUGAUGUAAAAUUACCAAAAUUUUAUUUUAUGUAAUUUUAUUUAUUACCUGUCUACCUGUUUAGAAAGCAGGAAAUUGGAUAUUAAAUUGUUUUCUUUGUUGUAAAAAAAAAAAAAAAUAAUAAUUCUUCACAAACAAGCAAACAUAUAUUUCGCACUACUUAUUGUGCUUCUUGUAUGAUAUCUUGCUGGUCAUUUUAAAAUAUUGCAUUGCAAUCAUUUGAAAACGCAACUGUCCAAAUACGUGGGAACGUGUUCCCUUUUGGAGUGAAACUCCAAGUCCCAGGUCGCUUUGCGCGAGACGUCACGGGCGGGCAGCACGUGCUCGGCUGCGGUGUUGCAACUAUGGCUCAGUGUGACUGCGACGCUGGGCGGGAGUGGUGCGUUCAAGGAAACGAGCGGCCGCUAACCUCGUACAUCGCCGCGCUGGAGACAUCCUGAGGAAUUGACCUGCUUACAUCUCUCUCUUUCUCUGGACGUCAUUUAAUCGCCGGAAUUUUUUAUUCCAAUACACACAAUUUCGACGGAUGUCGCGAGGAUUUAUUUUAUUUAUUUUUUUUUUGGGGGGGGGGGGGGGGGGGG